rnacentral:rRNA from 1 species
CAGCCGCCGCGGGAAUACGAAGGGUGCAAGCGUUAAUCGGAAUUACUGGGCGUAAAGCGUGCGUAGGCGGUUUGUUAAGUCUGCUGUGAAAUCCCCGGGCUCAACCUGGGAAUGGCAGUGGAUACUGGCAAGCUAGAGUGUGUCAGAGGAUGGUGGAAUUCCCGGUGUAGCGGUGAAAUGCGUAGAGAUCGGGAGGAACAUCAGUGGCGAAGGCGGCCAUCUGGGACAACACUGACGCUGAGGCACGAAAGCGUGGGGAGCAAACAGGAUUAGAUACCCCUGUAGUCCCUGUCUCUUAUAC